ACCCGACUAGCUCAGUCGGUAGAGCAUGAGACUCUUAAUUUUGUGGUUGUGGGUUCGAGCACCACGUUGGGCA